rnacentral:tRNA from 1 species
UCCCUGGUGCUCCAGUGGCUAAGACGCUGCACUUCCAAUGCAGGAGCCUGGAUUUCAAUCCCUGGUCAGGGAA